rnacentral:lncRNA from 10 species
AUUAGGUCUUGAAGGAAGACUUUAACUUUGGAUUUUUCAAUGUGUAAUGAUGAAGAAUGGAAAGGCCAUUCUAAACAGAAAGAUAAAGAGAGCAAAGGAAAACAGUUCCUCCUGAGGAUUUCAGAGAAGAGCUGGACUUCCUGGCUGACUCUCACAUUCUCUUCUUCUGAACUGCUUCUUCUGGUAGCUCCCUGUCACUUUGGACAAGCUCGCACUGCCCUCCUUGGCUGUUCUGGAACUGUGUGAUGGACUUCAUCCUACUAGGACACAGUUGCUUCUUGAAUUCCCCAGAUAAACACCCACCCGUGUGAAUGACAAGCCAUAAUAAAAAUUAAUUGUCAAAAUUAAUCAACAAGGUCCCAAACAAGAUUGAGAGCCAGGGGACAGAAGUGCCACCGGUAAUUAUAUAGUCACAGGCAGACCUAUGAGGAUGUUCAUCUUUCCUCUAAGACAACUUGAAGUUACAGACGUUUCUUAGAACUUAAAAAGUUUGAUAGCCCCUUACCCAAAGAAAUAGAAGCAUUGGAAAAUAUGUUAAAGAAAUUUCUAUGAAAUUAGAACAAAAUGACUUAUUUUGCAAGAGAAAAAAUAAGUAAAAGCCUAACUCUGAGAAGUCCACAUCCAUCUAAUAGGUGUUCCAGAAUCAGAAAAA